ACGGGUGAGUAAUACAUCGGAACGUAUCCUGGAGUGGGGGAUAGCCCGGCGAAAGCCGGAUUAAUACCGCAUACGCUCUGAGGAGGAAAGCGGGGGACCUUCGGGCCUCGCGCUCAAGGGGCGGCCGAUGGCGGAUUAGGUAGUUGGUGGGGUAAAGGCCUACCAAGCCGACGAUCCGUAGCUGGUCUGAGAGGACGACCAGCCACACUGGGACUGAGACACGGCCCAGACUCCUACGGGAGGCAGCAGUGGGGAAUUUUGGACAAUGGGGGCAACCCUGAUCCAGCAAUGCCGCGUGUGUGAAGAAGGCCUUCGGGUUGUAAAGCACUUUUGUCCGGAAAGAAAUCAUCGGGGCCAAUACCCCUGGUGGAUGACGGUACCGGAAGAAUAAGCACCGGCUAACUACGUGCCAGCAGCCGCGGUAAUACGUAGGGUGCGAGCGUUAAUCGGAAUUACUGGGCGUAAAGCGUGCGCAGGCGGUGCUGUAAGACCGAUGUGAAAUCCCCGGGCUUAACCUGGGAAACUGCAUUGGUGACUGCAGCGCUGGAGUAUGGCAGAGGGGGGGUGGAAUUCCACGU
rnacentral:rRNA from 1 species